UUUCCGUAGGUGAACCUGCGGAAGGAGCAUUAUCGUAUAACCGAGGUGCGAGGGCUGUCGCUGACCCGAAAGGUCGUGCACGCCCGAGUGCCCUCACGCCCAUCCAUCUCACCCCGAUGUGCACCACCGCGUGGGUCCCCCUUUGGCUUGUCCGGAGGGGGGCUUACGUUUUUACACAAACUUUGUAUGCAGUGUAGAACAUAUUUUUUGUUUUUGCGAUCACGCAAUCAAUACAACUUUCAACAACGGAUCUCUUGGCUCUC
rnacentral:misc_RNA from 1 species